GUCCGCCUACGGGACGCAGCAGUAGGGAAUCUUCCACAAUGGACGAAAGGCUGAUGGAGCAACGCCGCGUGAGUGAAGAAGGGUUUCGGCUCGUAAAGCCCUGUUGGUAGUGAAGAAAAAUAGAGGUGGUAACUGACCUUUAUUUGACGGUAAUUACUUAGAAAGUCACGGCUAACUACGUGCCAGCAGCCGCGGUAAUACGUAGGUGGCAAACGUUGUCCGGAUUUAUUGGGCGUAAAGCGAGUGCAGGCGG
rnacentral:rRNA from 1 species